rnacentral:lncRNA from 1 species
UGUGGGCUGACCUCCUGCAAGUGUCACACAGCCGGGAGCACCUCCCUGGGGAAAGCGGGGAGAGGCACAGCCAUAAUUGGUUAGAACACUAAGGGACUCUGAGCAUUUCGUUUCUACUGCCAGCAUCUGUAAGAAAACAACCUUUGAAGAGAUGCUAUUUGAAAUAUGAACUACAUUACAUAGAAUUGGAAACAUCUCCCCAGAGAAUGAACUAGAACAAUCUUUUGCCUCGUACAGAGCAAUGAAGACCUACUAGGCCUGAUGUUGAUACUAACCAGUGUGCUGCUGGAGAAAACUGCUUUAAAGGUUGUGAGCUGGUGGCCGUUCUGGGAAGUUCAUGGAUGGUGCAACCUCUGCCUGCGCUGGAACUGCACGGAGGGUCUAACCACAGCCUCAGCUGGCCGGUUGCAGCGCCUGCAGGGCUGUGCCCACGUGACCGGCGGCGGGCCUGGGCUGGAGGACCCCUAGCUGGUGGGUUCUGAGCCGAGGUCGUGUAGCACUGCUGGGUUUGCCUUCAGAAGUUCCGUUGAUCCUUCUCCUGAAGCUGAACAUUCACACCAGUGUAUGUACUUGGCUGUGUUUGAAAAUACCUCUUUAAAACAUCUACCUUAAAUAUUCAUAUUUCUGUGAAACUGGAAUGAUGUUUAACUCUGAUAAUAUAUUUUUUUAAUAAUACAAACUGCUUUUAGUCCCAUUGGCAAGAAUAAAGAAUAAAGCAUUGUGUGGUUUGAAAAAAGUCUGACGAGGAAACUACUAUUUCAUAGGGAUUUUUUUUUUCCGUGUUCAAACAGGAUGCACUUUAG